rnacentral:rRNA from 1 species
UACGUAGGGGGCAAGCGUUGUCCGGAUUUAUUGGGCGUAAAGCGCGUGUAGGCGGCCAGGUAGGUCGGUUGUGAAAACCUGAGGCUCAACCUCAGGCCUGCAAUCGAUACGAGCAGACUAGAGUGUUGCAGGGGAGACUGGAAUUCCUGGUGUAGCGGUGAAAUGCGCAGAUAUCAGGAGGAACACCGGUGGCGAAGGCGGGUCUCUGGGCCGAUACUGACGCUGGAGGAGCGAAAGCGUGGGGAGCGAACAGG